AGUGAACGCUGGCGGCAGGCCUAACACAUGCAAGUCGAACGGCAGCACAGCAGUAGCAAUACUGAGGGUGGCGAGUGGCGGACGGGUGAGGAAUGCAUCGGAAUCUGCCUAUUUGUGGGGGAUAACGUAGGGAAACUUACGCUAAUACCGCAUACGACCUACGGGUGAAAGUGGGGGACCGCAAGGCCUCACGCAGAUAGAUGAGCCGAUGCCGGAUUAGCUAGUUGGCGGGGUAAAGGCCCACCAAGGCGACGAUCCGUAGCUGGUCUGAGAGGAUAAUCAGCCACACUGGAACUGAGACACGGUCCAGACUCCUACGGGAGGCAGCAGUAGGGAAUAUUGGACAAUGGGCGCAAGCCUGAUCCAGCCAUGCCGCGUGAGUGAAGAAGGCCUUCGGGUUGUAAAGCUCUUUUGUCCGGAAAGAAAAGCUUCGGGUUAAUAACCCGGGGUCAUGACGGUACCGGAAGAAUAAGCACCGGCUAACUCUGUGCCAGCAGCCGCUGUAAAAC
rnacentral:rRNA from 1 species